AUACGGAGGGAGCAAGCGUUAUUCGGAAUCACUGGGCGUAAAGGACGCGCAGGCGGGUUUGUAAGUCAGGUGUGAAAUCCUACAGCUCAACUGUAGAACUGCACUUGAAACUACAGACCUAGAGUAUGGAAGGGGCAGAUGGAAUUAGUGGUGUAGGGGUAAAAUCCGUAGAUAUCACUAGGAAUACCGAAAGCGAAGGCGAUCUGCUGGGACAUUACUGACGCUGAGGCGUGAAAGCGUGGGGAGCAAACAGGAUUAGAAACCCUAGUAGUCC
rnacentral:rRNA from 1 species